UACGUAGGGGGCGAGCGUUGUCCGGAAUCAUUGGGCGUAAAGCGCGUGUAGGCGGCUCGAUAAGUCUGCUGUGAAAGUCCAGGGCUCAACCCUGGAAUGCCGGUGGAAACUGUCGAGCUUGAGUCCGGAAGAGGCGAGUGGAAUUCCUGGUGUAGCGGUGAAAUGCGCAGAUAUCAGGAGGAACACCAAUGGCGAAGGCGGCUCACUGGCCCGGUACUGACGCUGAGGCGCGAAAGCGUGGGGAGCAAACAGG
rnacentral:rRNA from 1 species